CCUUUCAAAAAUGUGCUGGGGAAGUUUACUGCGACAAAAUGGCUCGAACAACGAUUACUUUGAGCUAUAUCUUACGCCUGUAUAGGACAUUAAACAUACGCUCCAGGAAUUUAUACGCCGAGCAUGUUGACUUUAACUGGAGAAUGCCAGUUUAGAAACAUCUGUAUAAGCGUUGGUCAAGAAUGUACGAUAUAUGAUGUGGUUUUUACACGGAAAUGGAUCGAAAAGCUUAAUACAAUAUCUAUUUGAGUUCGCUAACAAGAGCUGGGUUUUCAAGCAAAGCUUUUGUAAUACAGUAUUGUGUAUGGUCACUCGUGGCAAUUUGGUAUUAAGGUAUAGUAUUACUGGAUGCAUUUCGGUUGGAAGUAUGUUUAAGAUCAUGAAUGCAUUUCUAAAUGUGAU